GUAGCCAACACUGUUUAUAUAUAUAUAUAUAUAUAUAUAUAUAUAUAUAUAUAUAUAUUUUAAUUGGGGUAGCGCCCAAAAUAUUGGGACAUAUAAAAAAAGAUACCUCUGUUCCACAGAGUAGCUGUUGACAUUAUAGUUGCACAGGAACUUUGUUGAUUAUAGAGAACCUCGGGCAAAUCACACAUCCCCAUGGAGGCGACUUUGCAUGCGGAUGUCAUCAACUUUCGAUGCCAGUUUUUGCGCUUACCAUGGUGACCACGUGUAAUGGGGAAUCAGGGUUCCAUUCCUUACAGGGACCCUGAGAAACGGCUACCACAUUCAAGGAAGGCAAGAGGAGCGCAAAUGACCCACUCCCGACACGGGAAGGUAUGAC
rnacentral:rRNA from 1 species